rnacentral:rRNA from 1 species
UGGUCAAGUUAUUAAGGGUGCAGGGCGGAUGCCUUGGCACUAGGAGCCGAUGAAGGACGUGAUA